rnacentral:misc_RNA from 1 species
GAGAUUUUCUAGCAUGACAUCUUUGUAAAUUAAUUAUUUCAUAUAAAAGGAGAGGAUAAAUGUUGUAAAACUGUGAUUAUGCAGGCUAUGAUUGUAGUGAGUGCUGGAGGGAUCAAAAAGAGAAAAUAAAAAAUGAAAAUGGGAAGAGAGUUAGAGAAGAACAUGUUAAUCAAAUUAGAGUAGAUUACACACACACACACACACACACACAC